UACGAAGGGGGCUAGCGUUGCUCGGAAUCACUGGGCGUAAAGCGCACGUAGGCGGACUCUUAAGUCGGUGGUGAAAUCCUGGAGCUCAACUCCAGAACUGCCUUCGAUACUGAGAGUCUCGAGUCCGGGAGAGGUGAGUGGAACUGCGAGUGUAGAGGUGAAAUUCGUAGAUAUUAGGAAGAACACCAGUGGCGAAGGCGGCUCACUGGCUCGGUACUGACGCUGAGGAGCGAAAGCGUGGGGAGCGAACAGG
rnacentral:rRNA from 1 species